CCUACGGGUGGCAGCAGUGGGGAAUAUUGCGCAAUGGGGGAAACCCUGACGCAGCAACGCCGCGUGAGUGAUGAAGGCCUUCGGGUUGUAAAGCUCUGUCUUUUGGGACGAUAAUGACGGUACCAAAGGAGGAAGCCACGGCUAACUACGUGCCAGCAGCCGCGGUAAUACGUAGGUGGCAAGCGUUGUCCGGAUUUACUGGGCGUAAAGAGUAUGUAGGCGGAUAUUUAAGUCAGAUGUGAAAUUCCCGGGCUUAACCUGGGAGCUGCAUUUGAUACUGGAUAUCUAGAGUGCAGGAGAGGAAAGUGGAAUUCCUAGUGUAGCGGUGAAAUGCGUAGAGAUUAGGAAGAACACCAGUGGCGAAGGCGACUUUCUGGACUGUAACUGACGCUGAGGCACGAAAGCGUGGGUAGCAAACAGGAUUAGAUACCCUUGUAGUC
rnacentral:rRNA from 1 species